GUGAGAUUAGCUAGUUGGUAGGGUAAAGGCCUACCAAGGCGACGAUCUCUAGCUGGUCUGAGAGGAUGAUCAGCCACACUGGGACUGAGACACGGCCCAGACUCCUACGGGAGGCAGCAGUGGGGAAUAUUGGACAAUGGGCGCAAGCCUGAUCCAGCCAUACCGCGUGUGUGAAGAAGGCCUUAGGGUUGUAAAGCACUUUCAGAAGGGAGGAAAGGUUUAUGGUUAAUACCCGUAAGCUGUGACGUUACCUUCAGAAGAAGCACCGGCUAACUCUGUGCCAGCAGCCGCGGUAAUACAGAGGGUGCGAGCGUUAAUCGGAAUUACUGGGCGUAAAGCGCGCGUAGGUGGUUUGUUAAGUCGGAUGUGAAACCCCAGGGCUCAACCUUGGAAUGGCACCCGAUACUGGCAGGCUAGAGUACGAUAGAGGAGUGUGGAAUUUCCUGUGUAGCGGUGAAAUGCGUAGAUAUAGGAAGGAACAUCAGUGGC
rnacentral:rRNA from 1 species